GCGGGUUUACGUAGUCAAAAACUUGCACAAAACCUUACACAGUUUUUGGCUCUAUUGAAAAAAACCGUGCAAUAUCGAGUACUUACGGAAGUCUCGCCCCACUCAAAUCCGGUUCCGAAAGGAGUGUGGGUUCGAUUCCCACCGCCCGCACCA
rnacentral:tRNA from 1 species